GAAACUGUGUCCCGGGCCGCCGGUUCGUCGCUCGCGACGCCAACUGGCGCGCACGCGGGACGUCCAGCCGGUACCGCUAACCCGCCGACGGUGCUCUUGACCGAGUGUCCAGGCGGGGGCCGGCAACGUUACUUUGAACAAAUUAAAGUGCUUAAAGCAGGCCAAACUGCCGCUCGUAUAAUACGUGCAUGGAAUAAUCGAAUAGGACCUCUGUUCUAUUUUGUUGGUUUUUGUGGAACGCACAGAGGUAAUGAUCAAUGGGUGCGGAUGGGGGCAUUCGUAUUGCGACGUUAGAGGUGAAAUUCUUGGAUCGUCGCAAGACGCACCAAAGCGAAAGCAUUUGCCAAAAACGCUUUCAUCGAUCAAGAACGAAAGUUAGAGGCUCGAAGGCGAUCAGAUACCGCCCUAGUUCUAACCAUAAACUAUGCCAGCUAGCGAUCCGCCGCAGUUACUACUACGACUCGGCGGGCAGCUCUCGGGAAACCAAAGCUUUUGGGUUCCGGGGGAAGUAUGGUUGCAAAGCUGAAACUUAAAGGAAUUGACGGAAGGGCACUACCAGGAGUGGGGCCUGCGGCUUAAUUUGACUCAACACGGGAAACCUCACCAGGCCCGGACACCGAAAGGAUUGACAGAUUGAGAGCUCUUUCUUGAUUCGGUGGGUGGUGGUGCAUGGCCGUUCGUAGUUGGUGGAGCGAUUUGUCUGGUUAAU
rnacentral:rRNA from 1 species